GGAUGCGAUCAUACUAGCAAUAACACACCAGAUCCCAUCAGAACUCCGAAUUGAACCGUGCCUGGACGAGAGUAGUACUAGGAUAGGUGACCCCCUGAGAAGUCCUCGUGUUGCAUCCC